rnacentral:rRNA from 1 species
ACCGUGUGCUUACAAGUAGUCAGAGCCCGUUAAUGGGUGAUGGCGUGCCUUUUGUAGAAUGAACCGGCGAGUUACGAUUUGAUGCAAGGUUAAGCAGUAAAUGUGGAGCCGUAGCGAAAGCGAGUCUGAAUAGGGCGUUUAGUAUUUGGUCGUAGACCCGAAACCAGGUGAUCUACCCUUGGUCAGGUUGAAGUUCAGGUAACACUGAAUGGAGGACCGAACCGACUUACGUUGAAAAGUGAGCGGAUGAACUGAGGGUAGCGGAGAAAUUCCAAUCGAACCUGGAGAUAGCUGGUUCUCUCCGAAAUAGCUUUAGGGCUAGCCUCAAGUGAUGAUUAUUGGAGGUAGAGCACUGUUUGGACGAGGGGCCCCUCUCGGGUUACCGAAUUCAGACAAACUCCGAAUGCCAAUUAAUUUAACUUGGGAGUCAGAACAUGGGUGAUAAGGUCCGUGUUCGAAAGGGAAACAGCCCAGACCACCAGCUAAGGUCCCAAAAUAUAUGUUAAGUGGAAAAGGAUGUGGCGUUGCCCAGACAACUAGGAUGUUGGCUUAGAAGCAGCCAUCAUUUAAAGAGUGCGUAAUAGCUCACUAGUCGAGUGACACUGCGCCGAAAAUGUACCGGGGCUAAACAUAUUACCGAAGCUGUGGAUUGUCCUUUGGACAAUGGUAGGAGAGCGUUCUAAGGGCGUUGAAGCAUGAUCGUAAGGACAUGUGGAGCGCUUAGAAGUGAGAAUGCCGGUGUGAGUAGCGAAAGACGGGUGAGAAUCCCGUCCACCGAUUGACUAAGGUUUCCAGAGGAAGGCUCGUCCGCUCUGGGUUAGUCGGGUCCUAAGCUGAGGCCGACAGGCGUAGGCGAUGGAUAACAGGUUGAUAUUCCUGUACCACCUAUA